rnacentral:rRNA from 1 species
GUUAGGAAUAUUGGACAAUGGACGCAAGUCUGAUCCAGCCAUGCCGCGUGAGUGAUGAAGGCCUUCGGGUUGUAAAGCUCUUUAGCCGAUGAUUAUAAUGACUGUAGUCGGAAAAUAAGCCCCGGCUAACUUCGUGCCAGCAGCCGCGGUAAUACGAAGGGGGCGAGCGUUAUUCGGAAUCACUGGGCGUAAAGCGUGCGUAGGCGGCUUUGCAAGUUGGGAGUGAAAGCCCAGGGCUCAACCCUGGAAUUGCUCUCAAAACUGCAAGGCUCGAAUUCGGGAGAGGAUAGCGGAAUUGUCAGUGUAGCAGUGAAAUGCGUAGAUAUUGACAGGAACACCAGUGGCGUAAGCGGCUAUCUGGACCGAUAUUGACGCUGAGGCACGAAAGCGUGGGGAUCAAACAGGAUUAGAUAUCCUAGUAGUCC